GUUGCACAAUAAGUCAAUACAAUGUACUGUUUAAAUCUGUUUUCAGACUUUAUAUCCAUUCAUUUUGUUGCAAUUUCAGAGACAAAACUAUUAUUUCAUUUUUAAUGCAAGAACAUUCCUAGUAUAAUGUCUAUAGCCUGUUUUUUUUUUUAUGUAGAAUGAAAUGUUUGGUGUUUGGUGUGGACCUCCUGUUCUAUUCAAGAUAUUCUUACAGACACAACAUGUCAUCAAUAAAUGUUUGUUAAAUGUUAAGAAUUACAAACCUUCCUUCUUUUGUAAUAGAUUGUUUUGAAAUACUUAGGGGAUGUAUCUUUAUUUUUCAAAGUGUUAUUCCUCUAAUUAUGACUUGAAGUAACAGGGAUAGAUGAUAAAAU
rnacentral:lncRNA from 1 species